UAAGGCCCGUGGCAGACCACCACGUUGAUAGGCCGGAGGUGUAAGCACGGCAACGUGUUCAGCCGACCGGUACUAAUCGGCCGAGGGCUUGGUACUUA
rnacentral:rRNA from 1 species